rnacentral:rRNA from 1 species
GACGAACGCUGGCGGCGUGCUUAACACAUGCAAGUCGAACGGAAAGGCCCUGCUUUUGUGGGGUGCUCGAGUGGCGAACGGGUGAGUAACACGUGAGUAACCUGCCCUUGACUUUGGGAUAACUUCAGGAAACUGGGGCUAAUACCGGAUAGGAGCUCCUGCUGCAUGGUGGGGGUUGGAAAGUUUCGGCGGUUGGGGAUGGACUCGCGGCUUAUCAGCUUGUUGGUGGGGUAGUGGCUUACCAAGGCUUUGACGGGUAGCCGGCCUGAGAGGGUGACCGGCCACAUUGGGACUGAGAUACGGCGCAGAAGCCUACGGGAGGCAGCAGUGGGGAAUAUGGCACAAUGGGCGGAAGCCUGAUGCAGCAACGCCGCGUGCGGGAUGACGGCCUUCGGGUUGUAAACCGCUUUCGCCUGUGACGAAGCGUGAGUGACGGUAAUGGGUAAAGAAGCACCGGCUAACUACGUG